rnacentral:rRNA from 1 species
UACAGGGGGUGCAAACGUUGCUCGGAAUCAUUGGGCGUAAAGCGCACGUAGGCGGUCUGUUAUGUCGGAUGUGAAAGCCCUUGGCUCAACUGAGGAAGUGCAUCCGAAACUGGCAGGCUAGAGUACUAAAGAGGGUCGCGGAAUUCCCGGUGUAGAGGUGAAAUUCGUAGAUAUCGGGAGGAACACCGGUGGCGAAGGCGGCGACCUGGGUAGAUACUGACGCUGAGGUGCGAAAAGCGUGGGGGAGCGAACAGG